rnacentral:rRNA from 1 species
UACGAAGGAGGCUAGCGUUGCUCGGAAUCACUGGGCGUAAAGGGCUCGUAGGCGGUUUGUCGCGUCGGGAGUGAAAACCUUGGGCUUAACUCAGGGCUUGCUUUCGAUACGGGCAGACUAGAGGUAUGCAGGGGAGAACGGAAUUCCUGGUGUAGCGGUGAAAUGCGCAGAUAUCAGGAGGAACACCGGUGGCGAAGGCGGUUCUCUGGGCAUGAUCUGACGCUGAGGAGCGAAAGUGUGGGGAGCGAACAGG